CGUGAAAAAAUUAGAGUGUUCAAAGCGGGCAGAUAUUUUUCCUGCCACCGAAUACAUUAGCAUGGGAUAAUGGAAUAGGACCCUGACCUCCUAUUUUCAGUUGGUUUUGUUUACAGCGAGGUUAUAUCAGGGUAAUGAUUAAUAGGGAUAGUUGGGGGCAUUAAUAUUUAAUUGUCAGAGGUGAAAUUCUUGGAUUUAUGAAAGAUUAACUUCUGCGAAAGCGUUUGCCAAGGAUGUUUUCAUUAAUCAAGAACGAAAGUUAGGGGAUCGAAGACGAUCAGAUACCGUCGUAGUCUUAACCAUAAACGAUGCCGACCAGCGAUUAGGAGACGUUGAAUACAAAACACCGCCGUUAAUCCUUUCGGGGGUUAAUGGUUGGUGAAUGACUCCCC
rnacentral:rRNA from 1 species